CCUACGGGAGGCUGCAGUGGGGAAUAUUGCACAAUGGGGGAAACCCUGAUGCAGCGACGCCGCGUGAGUGAAGAAGUAUCUCGGUACGUAAAGCUCUAUCAGCAGGAAAGAAAAUGACGGUACCUGACUAAGAAGCCCCGGCUAACUACGUGCCAGCAGCCGCGGUAAUACGUAGGGGGCAAGCGUUAUCCGGAUUUACUGGGUGUAAAGGGAGCGUAGACGGCGCUGCAAGUCCGGAGUGAAAGGCCGGGGCCCAACCCCCGGACUGCUCUGGAAACUAUGUGACUGGAGUGCAGGAGAGGUGAGCGGAAUUCCUAGUGUAGCGGUGAAAUGCGUAGAUAUUAGGAGGAACACCAGUGGCGAAGGCGGCUCACUGGACUGUAACUGACGUUGAGGCUCGAAAGCGUGGGGAGCAAACAGGAUUAGAUACCCCAGUAGUC
rnacentral:rRNA from 1 species